rnacentral:rRNA from 1 species
CCUGGUUGAUCCUGCCAGUAGUUAUUUACUUGUCUCAAAGAUUAAGCCAUGCAUGUUUAAGUAUAAACUAAUUCAAACUGUGAAACUGCGAAUGACUCAUUAAAUCCGUUAUAGUUUAUUUGAUGGUAUCUACCACUCGGAUAGCCAUGGUAAAUCUAGAGGUAAUAUAUGCAACAAACCCGAACUUCUAGAAGGGAUGCAUUUAUUGGAUAAAAGGUCGACACAGGCUUUACUCGUUGCUCUGAUGAUUCAUGAUAACUCAACGGAUCGCACGGCCUUUGCGUCGGCAACGCAUUGUUCAAAUUUCUGCCCUAUCAACUUUCGAUGGUAGGAUAGUGGCCUACCAUGAUAGUGAAGGGUGACGGAGAACUAGGGUUCGAUUCCGGAGAAGGAGCCUAAAAAAUGGCUCCCACAUCCAAGGAAGGCAGCAGACGUGCAAAUUACCUAAUCCUGACACGGGGAGAUAGUGAUAAUAAAUAACAAUACCGGGCUCUUCGAGUCUGGUAAUUGGAAUGAGGACAAUCUAAAUCCCUUAACGAGGAUCCAUUGGAGGGCAAGUCAGGUGCCAGCAACCGCGGUAAUUCCACCUCCAGUAGUGUAUAUUUAAGUUGUUGCAGUUAAAAAGCUCGUAGUUGGAGCUUGGGGUGGCUGAUUGGUCUACCUUGUGGUGUGCACUGGUCAUCCUACUCCUGCUACUGGCAAUGCGCUCUUGGCCUUAACUAGCCAGAUCGUGCCACCAGCGCUGUUACAUUGAAGAAAUUAGAGUGCUCAAAGCAGGCCUAUGCUCUGGAUACAAUAGCAUGGGAUAACAUCAUAGGAUUCCGGGCUUGUUCUAUUGGCCUUUGCAAUCAGAGUAAAUGAUUAACAGAGACAGUUGGGGGCAUUCAUAUUUCAUACUCAGAGGUGAAAUUCUUGUAUUUGUGAAAUACGAACAGCUACGAAAGCAUUUGCCAAGUAUGUUUUCAUUAAUCAAGAACGAAAGUUAGGGGCUUAAAGACGAUAAGAUACUAUCCUAUUCUCAACCAUAAACGAUGCCGAUCAGGGAUCAGCAGAUGUUGUUUUUAGGACGCCGCCGACACCUCAUGAGAAAUCAAAAUUUUUGGGUUCCAGGGGGAAGUAUGGUCACAAGGCUAAAACUUAAAGGAAUUGACGGAACGGCACCACCAGGAGUGGUGACUGUGGCUUAAUUUGACUAACCACUGGGAAACUUACCAGGUCCAUACAUAGUAAGGAAUGACAAACUAAAAGCUCUUUCUCGAUUCUAUGGGUGGUGGUGCAUGGCCGUUCUUAGUUAGUGCAGUGAUUUGUCUGGUUAAUUCCAUUAACGAAUGAGACCUUAGGCUGCUAACUAGUUAUGUGGAGGUAAUCCUUCAUAGCUAGCUUCAUACAAGGAUAAUGGCCUUCCAAGCCAAGAAAGUUUGAGGCAAUAACAGGUUUGUGAUGCCCUUAGAUGUUUUAGGCCGCAUGCGCGCUGCACUAAUGUAUUCAACGAGUCUACAGCCUUGGCCUACAGGCCUGGGUAAUCUUUGAAAUUUCAUCGUGAUUAGGAUAGAUCAUUGCAAUUGUUGGUUUGCAAUAAGGAAUUCCUAGUAAGCGCGAGU